AKGGUUUGGCAGUGAGGGAUUCUUGUUAGGGGAAGAUGCGUAGUAAAGGAUGGUCCACCUAUUAUUUUACUCUUGUUAUGUUGGUGUAUAUCUGGUUUAAUAUUAUUGUUGAGUGAUUUAAGUUUGUGUAGUUUUAGUUAAGCUAAGUCUAUGUGCUGCUUAUGAGAGUUUUUGUGUGUUACAUUGAUAAGUGUGUUGUUGAAAGAGAACAUGAUUUAGGACUUAAUAGUAAUGUUGAAAUGAGUUUGUUGAUGUGAAGUGAGUUUAGCUCACGUACACACC
rnacentral:rRNA from 1 species